GCAGUCGAGCGGACAGAAGGGAGCUUGCUCCCGGAUGUUAGCGGCGGACGGGUGAGAAACACGUGGGUAACCUGCCUGUAAGACUGGGAUAACUCCGGGAAACCGGAGCUAAUACCGGAUAGUUCCUUGAACCGCAUGGUUCAAGGAUGAAAGACGGUUUCGGCUGUCACUUACAGAUGGACCCGCGGCGCAUUAGCUAGUUGGUGAGGUAACGGCUCACCAAGGCGACGAUGCGUAGCCGACCUGAGAGGGUGAUCGGCCACACUGGGACUGAGACACGGCCCAGACUCCUACGGGAGGCAGCAGUAGGGAAUCUUCCGCAAUGGACGAAAGUCUGACGGAGCAACGCCGCGUGAGUGAUGAAGGUUUUCGGAUCGUAAAGCUCUGUUGUUAGGGAAGAACAAGUGCAAGAGUAACUGCUUGCACCUUGACGGUACCUAACCAGAAAGCCACGGCUAACUACGUGCCAGCAGCCGCGGUAAUACGUAGGUGGCAAGCGUUGUCCGGAAUUAUUGGGCGUAAAGGGCUCGCAGGCGGUUUCUUAAGUCUGAUGUGAAAGCCCCCGGCUCAACCGGGGAGGGUCAUUGGAAACUGGGAAACUUGAGUGCAGAAGAGGAGAGUGGAAUUCCACGUGUAGCGGUGAAAUGCGUAGAGAUGUGGAGGAACACCAGUGGCGAAAGCGACUCUCUGGUCUGUAACUGACGCUGAGAGCGAAAGCGUGGGGAGCGAACAGAUUACAUACCCUGGUAGUCCACGCCGUAACGAUGAGUGCUAAGUGUUAGGGGGUUCCGCCCCUUAUGCUGCAGCUACGCAUAGCACUCCGCCUGGGGAGUACGUCGCAGACUGAAGCUCAAGAUUGACUGGGGCCCGCACAGCGUGAGCAUGUGUUUAAU
rnacentral:rRNA from 1 species